GCACCCAUAGCUUAACGGAUAGAGUAUCAGUUUGCGGAACUGAUGAUCCCAGUUCAAUUCUGGGUGGGUGCA
rnacentral:tRNA from 1 species